UCUUUUUAUGUUUCUUUCCGAAGUUAAGAAGGCGUAUUACAUCGAAGAUGAGACAUAAAAAUUGGCUUGUGGUUAAGCAUGCAAAAAUUAAGGAUGUAGGUGAUAUGGAUAACUGAUUGUUAGAGAUGUUAAAUGGUUAGUAAGAGGAACUUUCAACUUCAAAGUUGAUUUCAUAUAGUUUUGGUCUUAUCGAUGAUAUUUUUGUGUUUAUUUCCCAAGCUAAGAAGGUGUACAACAUUGGAGAUGAGAGACACAAAGAUGUUAGUGGUUA
rnacentral:lncRNA from 1 species